AAUAUAGGACAACUCCCCCAUUCCCUCCCAUUCCCACACGCAGGGUCGCCAUCAUCCAAUGGCAAACACGCAUUUUUUUUAUUUUUUAUGAAGCUAUCCCUUCCGAGCCAAUCCCCGUCGCUCCAGUGAUCCCUGUAAACCGGAUGCCCUUCCUUCCGGCCCCUCAAACGCAGCGUAAUCUGUGGAUCAGGGGAGGCAGACGCACACAGGCGGUGUGGACUUGGGCUCCGAUGGAGGUGAUGAGGAUGGAAAAAAAACAGAAGAAGAAGAAGAAGAAGAAGAAGAAGAAAUAGCAUCAGUCCCCGCCACCUCGACUGGAAGGUGAAUCCCGAUCAAAAGAUGAAGGGAAAACACUAUGCUGCUGCAGCGCGUUUUUAACCCCGAAGAGGAAAGACUUCAGUUUCUGGCGAUUACAAGAUGGUAUUCUGCAAUAAAGCAGAUUCUCAAAGCUCAUAUCCGAGCUUAAACGCACCUCGUUAUACUCUGUGUGUAUAACAUGAUCAGAACUGUCAGUGCCCCAAGGACAGGACACUCUCUGCCACUGUCUUGUGUCAUUAUAUCCCCCCUGUUGUGCAACCUGACCUCUUUGGUCUUGCCCGAGUCUCUAUCCUCCUCCCCCCCCUCCUCUUCUUCUUCCUCCUCUUCCUCCUCUGCGCCCUGCCUUCUCUGUCACAUCGGCUCAGGGUCAGGGCCGCCGCCCCGCCUGCCUCGGCGAACAUUCAACGCUGUCGGUGAGUUUGGUUUGAGUAGCACAUAAACCAUCGACCGUUGACUGUGCCCCGUGGCUUGCUCUGGCGAUGUCAAAUCGGAGCAAAAAACGGAAAAAAAAAAUGGGGGGGGGAAAGACCAAAAAACGAACAAAAGGGCAAGUGGGCGCCACAUGCAAAUGCAGAGAUGGAAACCACAUGCGCACAUGCUCAUAAGUGCCACUUUGUGUUCGCUGUACCCAAAGACCAAAGGUCACAAUCAACAUUCAUUGCUGUCGCUGGGUUGGACUCUGUAAGAAAGCUCACUGAACAAUGAGUGCAACUGUGGCCCAGAUCUGCCUGACUCGCGUCUCAGCCAAUCAGACGACCGGAUGUGAAGCACUCUGAUUUCUUUAUUUAUGUACUUCUUGUUUUUCACUUCUAUUUUUUCCCCUCUCUUCCUCCCUCUCCGGUGCCGGGAGUUUUCAGAGGAGGAAGGCAGAGAGAUAGGUGGCACAAAUAGACUUCUGGCUGCCUGCUUGUCCUCAGCCUCCUCUUCUCUCCUCUAAUUGAUGGUUAUGUGUGCAGCAUGGGGGAAGGAAGCCGAGUGAAUGUGUAAUCAUUUGGAGUCUCUUCUCCUUUAGAUGUUUCAUCCCUCUCUUUUUUGUUUGUCUAAUUAUACGCUGAGCUCAGUUAACUGUGUGUCUGCGCUGGCAGGGAAGGCAGAUUUGCGAAAAAGGGAGGACAAUUGAGGGGAAAAAGGAAGAUUACAGCUUUAGAAAAAAGAAAUAGAUUUAGUUUUGAGUUUAUUUUUCAUAAUAAUUCUCCUGGUGCCCAUGGAAAUGUGUUUGAAUAAAAGCAAUUUUGCAGCGUAAGAGGAAGAGUAUUUCCACCUUUUUGAUAAAAGAUGCCUCGUUAUCUGUAUUUAAACGUCUUGGAGUUCUACCUACCAGUCCCAGAGUGCAAGUGCUCUCUACGUUAGAGGACGCGUCUGCUCGUCUCAGGGUGUAAUAUGUUAUUUUACUUCAACACUGACGCUAACGCUCUCGUGGGGAAACAUAAAGUCAAUAACCCUGUCUCUCUUCACAGUCUGUGACCCACCUUAUUGCUGCCGUCUGUGAAACCUCUCACUGUCCUGUAUCAGUUAUUCACACGCUGCUGAAACCAAAUGUACACACACUCUGUUGAAAAAGAUGAAACCUUUAUUUCUCUCAGUUUGAAAAGCAACAACAAAAAGAAAAUUGCAAAAUCUAGUUCUUAUUAUAUAUAUAUAUUUUUUUUUAAGUUUGGUGGAUUUCUGGCCCAUGUGGUGUAACUCAGUCAGGUUUGCAGGCUGAGAUCAGAGCUUUAUGAUGGCCACAAUAAAUUAAACUGCUUUGUAACCAACUUAAUGGUACAUUGCCCGUUUUGAGGAUCGAUUUCGGUCCAAAAUAUGCCCUUUUCAAUAUUUCCACUUGAAGUUGUUGCCUCAUAACGCUAUCUAAUUUAGGAAGUGACCAGUUCCUCCUGUAGCAAGCUUCCUCCCACAAGCUUUUCCUUUUUUUUUAUUGAAGUGCAAUUUAGUUUCAUAAGACUACCGGACAUGUCUCCAAAAAAUAAAAGUCUUGGUGUCUGAGUGAUUUUACAAACUGCAAUCUGGCUUUUUACGUUGCUCCUGGAAUAACGGCUUCUUCCUCUCUGAGUGGACUUGUGUUACGCUGACUAAAGACAACAAUGUUGUCUUUUUUACAAUGUUUUCUACUUUUGUUUUUGGGGUUCUUGGCUAGCUUCCUUUGAUCGUUCCAUGGUGUCAAAAAAGGUAAACUCAAAUUGUUUAAAGUUAUAGCAAUCUGUGUCUAAACUCCUGACUUUGACGAAACCAACAAAAAAAAAUACCCUUUAAAAAAAUUGGAAAUUUAUCAAAAGGAAAUAAUUUAGAUAAUUUUAACUGACCAGGAAGAGUUUGUUUUAUUUUUCUGAAGACUGCAGGGGCAUAAAAUGACUAAACGUCUCUUUACUCAGAGUAUGUACAUAUCUGGUUUUCAGCUGCGUUUGUCGUUUUAUUCUCUCAACAACGUUUCUUCAGUGAUUUCCUGACUAAGCCAAUAAAGUUCAAUCCAGACCAAUU